rnacentral:rRNA from 1 species
GGAAGAAUGAAGAGCUUGCUCUUUAUGAAAUCCAGUGGCAAACGGGUGAGUAACACGUAAACAACCUGCCUUCAGGAUGGGGACAACAGACGGAAACGACUGCUAAUACCGAAUACGAUUCUUGAGUCGCAUGACACAAGAAAGAAAGGGUGGCCUCUACUUGUAAGCUAUCGCCUGGAGAGGGGUUUGCGUCCGAUUAGGUAGUUGGUGAGGUAACGGCCCACCAAGCCGACGAUCGGUAGCCGGUCUGAGAGGAUGAACGGCCACAUUGGAACUGAGACACGGUCCAGACUCCUACGGGAGGCAGCAGUGGGGAAUCUUCCGCAAUGGGCGAAAGCCUGACGGAGCAACGCCGCGUGAGUGAAGACGGCCUUCGGGUUGUAAAACUCUGUGAUUCGGGACGAAAGAUAAGUAGACGAAUAAUCUGCAUAAGUGACGGUACCGAAAGAGCAAGCCACGGCUAACUACGUGCCAGCAGCCGCGGUAAUACGUAGGUGGCAAGCGUUGUCCGGAAUUAUUGGGCGUAAAGCGCGCGCAGGCGGCUACUUAAGUCCAUCUUAAAAGUGCGGGGCUUAACCCCGUGAUGGGAUGGAAACUGAGAAGCUGGAGUGUCGGAGAGGAAAGUGGAAUUCCUAGUGUAGCGGUGAAAUGCGUAGAGAUUAGGAAGAACACCGGUGGCGAAGGCGACUUUCUGGACGACAACUGACGCUUAGGCGCGAAAGCGUGGGGAGCAAACAGGAUUAGAUACCCUGGUAGUCCACGCCGUANACGAUGGAUACUAGGUGUAGGAGGUAUCGACCCCUUCUGUGC